GUUCGCCGAUCUUAACAUGGCAAGUCGAACGAUGAGCCCUUCGGGGUGGAUUAGUGGCGAACGGGUGAGUAACACGUGGGCAAUCUGCCCUGCACUCUGGGACAAGCCCUGGAAACGGGGUCUAAUACCGGAUAUCACUCCCUUGGGCAUCUUGGGGGGUUGAAAGCUCCGGCGGUGCAGGAUGAGCCCGCGGCCUAUCAGCUUGUUGGUGAGGUAAUGGCUCACCAAGGCGACGACGGGUAGCCGGCCUGAGAGGGCGACCGGCCACACUGGGACUGAGACACGGCCCAGACUCCUACGGGAGGCAGCAGUGGGGAAUAUUGCACAAUGGGCGCAAGCCUGAUGCAGCGACGCCGCGUGAGGGAUGACGGCCUUCGGGUUGUAAACCUCUUUCAGCAGGGAAGAAGCGAAAGUGACGGUACCUGCAGAAGAAGCGCCGGCUAACUACGUGCCAGCAGCCGCGGUAAUACGUAGGGCGCAAGCGUUGUCCGGAAUUAUUGGGCGUAAAGAGCUCGUAG
rnacentral:rRNA from 1 species